GAUGAACGCUGGCGGCGUGCUUAACACAUGCAAGUCGAACGGAAAGACCCUGCUUGCAGGGUUCUCGCGUUGCGAACGGGCGAGUAACUCGCAGGUGAUCUGCCCUCCACUUCGGGUUAAGUCUGGGAAACUGGCUCUAAUAACGGCCAGAAGCUAUAUUUAGCGUGAUGGUUGGAUAGUUUUUUCGGUGUUUGCUGAGUUCGCGGCCUAUCAGCUUGCUGGUGCGGUAAUGGCCUACCAAGGCGGCGACGGGUAGCCGGCCUGCGUGGGUGGACUGCGACACUGAGUCUUAGAUACGGCCCAGACUCCGACUGGAGGGAGAAGUGGGAAAUAUUGCAGAAGGGGCGCAAGCCGGAUGCUGAGGCUCCGCGUGGGGGAUGACGGCCUUAUGGUUGUAGACUCAAUUCGUUAGGGACGAUGCUUUUCUUGACGGUACCUAGAUAGGAAGCACCGGCUAACUACGUG
rnacentral:rRNA from 1 species